GGCCACCUCUCUGCAGUGUUUUUUGCAAAU
rnacentral:piRNA from 1 species